GUGGGGAAUAUUGGACAAUGGGCGCAAGCCUGAUCCAGCCAUGCCGCGUGCAGGAUGAAGGCCUUCGGGUUGUAAACUGCUUUUGUACGGAACGAAAAGACUCCUUCUAAUAAAGGGGGUCCAUGACGGUACCGUAAGAAUAAGCACCGGCUAACUACGUGCCAGCAGCCGCGGUAAUACGUAGGGUGCAAGCGUUAAUCGGAAUUACUGGGCGUAAAGCGUGCGCAGGCGGUUAUAUAAGACAGAUUUGAAAUCCCCGGGCUCAACCUGGGAACUGCAUUUGUGACUGUAUAGCUAGAGUACGGUAGAGGGGGAUGGAAUUCCGCGUGUAGCAGUGAAAUGCGUAGAUAUGCGGAGGAACACCGAUGGCGAAGGCAAUCCCCUGGACCUGUACUGACGCUCAUGCACGAAAGCGUGGGGAGCAAACAGGAUUAGAAACCCUGGUAGUCC
rnacentral:rRNA from 1 species